CUGAAUUAUGGUAUGGUGAAAUCGUAACACAAGUUUCUUCAUUUCAGCCGGGAGUUCCUUCUCGAUGCCUAGACACCUCCAUUUCCACAAUUCACAAAACUCAUGGUGGCUCUAUGUUGGGAGGCAUGCCGUGCUGUCUCUGAUGCUUCCAGACCGAAUUCACAUUGAACUCUCCUCGAAGCCUUUGAUCCAAAAUAGUAUUUCAAUCCCUGUUCUGGAACUCAAGAUUCACCCACUCCACUAUGUGGACAAGAUCAUCAUUUUCUAUGAUUGCAGGUUGGCCAGUAAAAAUCUAAACAUCAAUUUUUUUUUCUUUCAACCUUGCUAAUUAUAGUAUCUGCAGACCAAAUAAAGUAAUCAUAGAUCACUCACUGCUCAUAGAUUUGUUUUUUUUUUUUAACAUGAUCAAAAUUCUAAGAACAGUAGAACACAGAAAUCUGAACAAGCUCGGUAUCCCAUGACCGAUGCCACCAGAGUCUCAGUGUCACUGGGAAAAACCAUGGACAUACCAAACUCUGCUAUUUUGCAUCCAAGUUUUAAUUCAAGAGAAUGUUGGCAGUCUUUACAUCUCUAUGCACAAUACUGGAUUGUGCAUAUAUAUUAGCAUACAAAAUAACACUAAGCACCUAUCUAACGCAAUAUCUAAUGCUAUCCGAAGUCUCAUUUCCCAAGUUUAUGUGAGCUUUGUUGAAUUAUAAGUCUCUAGCUGAUUGAGUAUUAGAAAUAAGAUGAGUUUUAAUGUGUGUAUUCACUUGAGCAUAUCUGCCAAGUGUAAGGUUAAAUGAUGUAAGGCCAUGAGUGCUAUGUGGUGUUUGAUCCAUGUAAUUAGGUUGAUGAGUGACUAAGUUUAAAAGUAGUGUUUUGUGUGGUCCUAAAGCUAAGGCCAUCAGUUAAAUGUAAAGCAGUGUUAGUGCGCAUUUUUCUGUGCAGUACAAAUAUUCCUCUGCAAUACUUUUGCAGCAGAGAGAACAAGAAAGAAAAACUUUUCGGUUCAACUUCUAUCUUUGCUUUGCUUCUGUUCAGCAUUCUGAAAAUAAACCCAGCAAAAUCAAGUUACACUAACAUGGCCUCAGAGCCUUGUUUCGAUUAGAUCUGGGCGUGUUUCUGUGAGCUCAAACAUCACCGUUUCUGGACUCGGUGAAGUUUGCCGGAGUUUGUUUGUGAGCUAAGAACUACGUGUUUCUGGAUUCACACAAGCUCACGAUGGCUGGAUCUGGGAGUGCUGAAGUGAGGACCCCGAUCUUCUCCGGUGAGAACUACGAGUUCUGGAGAAUCAAAAUGGUUACCAUUUUCAAGUCAUAUGGACUGUGGAAUCUGGUGGAAAAAGGGAUUUCGGUUUCUGAUUCGAAGAAGAAGAAAGCUAAGACUGAUGAAGAUACAGAUGUUGAUGCUGACGAUGAUGAGAAAAUGGCUGCAACCUUCAUGAAAGAUGCAAAAGCACUCGGAAUCAUUCAAAACGCAGUCUCUGAUCAGAUUUUCCCUCGAAUCGCAAACGCAGACUCAGCAAAAAUGGCAUGGGAUCUGUUAUAUGGCGAAUAUCACGGUGGGGAUCAGGUAAGAUUUGUGAAACUCCAGAAUCUUAAACGAGAAUUUGAAUACACUAGAAUGCGUGAUGAUGAAUCUUUGACUGGGUAUCUUACUCGUUUAAAUGAUCUGAUUAAUCAAAUGAAGACGUUUGGUGAAAUUCUGUCAAAUGAGAGAUUAGUUCAGAAGGUGUUAAUCAGUCUCACUAAGAUAUAUGAUCCUAUAUGCUUAGUGAUAGAAAACACCAAAUGUUUAGAAUCUGUUGAAUUGCAAGAGGUACUAGCUAUAUUGAAGAGUCAAGAGCAGAGGUUUGAUUUGCAUUCCUCUGAUGCAACUGAGAGAGCAUUUUCUUCUCUUACUGUUAGUUCAAAAGGGCAGAAUCGAAGUUAUGCUCAGUCUAGUACUUUUAAACCACAGAAAAAUUGGAAUCAAAAGGGUAAGAAAUGGGAUUUAAAACCAAAGUUUCAGCAAAAAUCAUACACAAAUGUUGCACAGAAUAGUAUUUCCUCACAGAUUAUGGGUCAAGAGAGUGUAAAACCUCAAUGUAAGGUGUGUUCAAAGUUUCAUUAUGGUGAAUGUAGAUAUAAGGGGAAAUCCAAGUGCCAUAACUGUGAUAGAUUUGGUCAUUGGGCCAGAGAGAGUGUACUGUUGGAAAGUCUGUUCAAAAGGCAAACUGUGCAAGUCAAAUGGAAGUGACAGGAAACUUAUUUUAUGCAAACUGUGCAGUUGCUGAGACUAAGGUUAAUGGAGAUUGGUACAUAGAUAGUGGCUGCAGUAAUCAUAUGACAGGAAAUGUUGAUCUUCUUGUUGAUGUGAAUACAAAUGUUGCAGGGAAAGUUCAAAUGCCAACAGGAGGGUUAGUUAAUGUGGCAGGAAUGGGAUCACUGGAAAUUGAGACUAACAGAGGAAGAAAAUACAUUCGAGAAGUCAUGUACUUACCUGGUUUGAAGGAGAAUCUAUUAAGUGUAGGACAAAUGGAUGAGCACGGAUACUAUCUUGUGUUUGGUGGACAUAUGUGUACUGUUUUUGAUGGUCCUUCUCUGAAAUGUCAAAUUAUCCGUGUAAAAAUGAAAGAAAACAGGUGCUAUCCUCUAUCUCUACGGCCUGAGAAACAACUUGUGUUGAAGACCAGUUUUGCUCAUUGUUCUCUGACUUGGCACAGAAGAUUAGGUCACCUACACUUUGGUGGAAUUAAGAAAUUGAAGGAUAAUGACAUGGUACAUGGAUUACCAUAUCUAGAUGAGUAUGACAAAGUGUGUGAAGGCUGUCAAUAUGGUAAGCAACACAGAGAAAGGUUUCCUAGUGGUCAAGCACAAAGAGCUGGUGCUCCACUUGAAUUGGUUCAUGUAGAUCUGUGUGGACCGAUGAGAAUCGAGUCUACUGGAGGAAACAAGUACUUUAUGUUGCUUGUAGAUGAUGCAACCAUGAUGAUAUGGGUGUAUUUUCUUAGAUUCAAAUAUGAAGCUUUUACUUGUUUUCAGAAAUUCAAGGCCAUGACUGAGUUGCAAAGUGGAAUGAAGGUAAAAUGUGUAAGGAGUGAUAGAGGAGGGGAGUUCUUAUCAAAUGAAUUCAAGCAAUACUGUGACACAGAGGGAAUCCAAAGGCAACUGUCUCUCUCUUACACUCCACAGCAAAAUGGAGUGGUUGAAAGAAAAAACAGAACUGUGAUUGAAAUGGCCAAGUCUAUGCUUCAUGACAAAGGAAUGCCUUACUAUAUGUGGGCAGAAGCUGUGCAUACUGCUGUCUAUCUGUUAAACAGAUGCCCUACCAAAUCACUGGAUAGUAUAACACCUUUUGAAGCUUACAGCAAAAGGAAACCAGGUAUUGCUCAUUUGAAGGUUUUUGGCUCAGUUUGUUAUGUUCAUACUCCAUCCGAGCUAAGACACAAGCUAGAACCCAAGAGUAUAAAAGGAGUCUUUGUUGGAUAUGCAAAAUGUGAGAAAGGCUAUAGAGUAUUUGAUCCAAUCUCUAAGAGACUGAUUCUGUCAAGAGAUGUUGUGUUCGAUGAAAACUCAGCUUGGGAUUGGGAAAGAAGCACUGAAAGAUAUAUGUCACUGCCUACUUAUGAGUUUGACUCUGUUGAUACACAAAGAAGUGAAAAUGCAGAAAAUGACCCUCAAGUUUCAAGUGAUUUAUCAUCUGGAAUAUUGGAAGAAGCUGCAAGUGGUAUUGAUGAUACACAGAUCAACUCUCAGUCAAGUGCAGGUGUGAAUGACACUCAGUUUUUUGAUCAUACUCCAUUAAAAUGGAGAAAGCUGGAUGAUGUUCUUGCUCAGUGUAAUCUUUGUAUUAUAGAACCAGAGAAAUAUGAAGAUGCAGCUAAGGAUGAAUCUUGGAUGAAUGCUAUGAAGGAUGAGCUCUCCAUGAUUGAAAAGAAUGCAACCUGGGAGUUAGUGGACAGGCCAAGUAACAAGCCUAUAAUUGGAGUAAAAUGGGUGUGUUUAAAACCAAACUCAACCUGGAUGGAACUGUGCAAAAGAACAAGGCAAGGCUUGUUGCAAAGGGAUAUGCACAGAAACCAGGAAUAGACUACAAUGAGACCUUUGCUCCUGUUGCUCGAUUAGAUACAAUCAGAACCCUUAUAGCAUUGGCUGCACAAAAGAGUUGGAAACUCUAUCAACUUGAUGUUAAAUCGGCUUUUUUAAAUGGUGUUCUAGAGGAGGAGGUUUAUGUGGAGCAACCUGAUGGUUUUGUAGCUAAAGGGGAGGAAGACAGGGUAUAUAAACUUCACAAAGCCUUGUAUGGUCUAAAACAGGCACCACGGGCCUGGUAUGGAGAGAUAGAUACAUAUUUCUCACAAUGUGGUUUCACAAGAAGUUUAAGUGAACCAACACUGUACAUCAAGACAGAAGAGGAAGGCAUUUUGAUUGUGUCGAUCUAUGUGGAUGACAUAAUCUAUACUGGGAGCAACAAACAAAUGCUUGAAGAAUUCAAGGAAGACAUGAAACGAAAGUAUGAGAUGACUGAUUUGGGCCUUCUCCAUCAUUUUCUUGGAAUGGGAAUAAUUCAAACCACUUCAAGCAUUUUCAUCCACCAAAAAGAAAUAUGCAAACUCUCUGUUAGACAAAUUUGGUCUAAAAGAGUGCAAACCUGUGCUUACUCCAUUGGUUGCAACUGAGAAGUUAACCACGGAUGAUGGAAGUGGUGCUGCAAGUGAAGAAUUAUAGAAGUUUGGUGGGAAGUCUCUUAUAUCUCAUUGCAACCAGGCCUGAUAUUAUGUAUGCAUCCAGUCUGUUAGCCAGAUUUAUGCACUGCCCUACCAGUAAGCAUGUUGGAACUGCUAAAAGAGUGCUAAGAUACAUUAAGGGUACACUUGAUUAUGGUCUGGAAUAUGUGAAGGGUAAGGACUCAAUGUUAAUUGGGUUCUGUGACAGUGACUGGAGUGGAUCAAUUGAGGACAGUAAAAGUACUUCUGGUUAUGCUUUCUCCUUUGGCAGUGGAGUAUUCUCUUGGGCAUCUGUGAAGCAAAAUUGCGUUGCUCUUUCCACUGCAGAAGCAGAGUACAUCAGUGCUUCAGAAGCAACUACUCAAGCCAUUUGGUUGAGAUUUGUUCUUGAAGACUUUGGUGAAUUUCAAACCGAAGCCACUCCAGUGCACUGUGACAACACCUCAGCAAUUGCAAUCACCAAGAACUCUGUGUUUCAUCAAAAGACCAAACACAUUAACAGAAGAUACCAUUUCAUCAAGGAUGCACUGAAGGAUGGCAUCAUUGAUCUGGUGUACUGUCCAACUAAUGAGCAACUUGCUGAUAUCUUCACAAAACCUUUGCCUAAAGAUCGGUUUAAUUAUCUCAGGAGCAUGCUAGGAGUGAAAUCAGCUCAAGACUUAAAGGGGAGUGUUGAAUUAUAAGUCUCUAGCUGAUUGAGUAUUAGAAAUAAGAUGAGUUUUAAUGUGUGUAUUCACUUGAGCAUAUCUGCCAAGUGUAAGGUUAAAUGAUGUAAGGCCAUGAGUGCCAUGUGGUGUUUGAUCCAUGUAAUUAGGUUGAUGAGUGACUAAGAUUAAAAGUAGUGUUUUGUGUGGUCCUAAAGCUAAGGCCAUCAGUUAAAUGUAAAGCAGUGUUAGUGCGCAUUUUUCUGUGCAGUACAAAUAUUCCUCUGCAAUACUUUUGCAGCAGAGAGAACAAGAAAGAAAAACUUUUCGGUUCAACUUCUAUCUUUGCUUUGCUUCUGUUCAGCAUUCUGAAAAUAAACCCAGCAAAAUCAAGUUACACUAACAAGCUUCUAUCUGCAUCCGCAACCAUUGACAUGACACUUAAAUAUUUUGAAACCCUCUGUUGGAGGACAAUGCUAUGUAAAAUAUAGAAUUACAUACCUGAUCGGAGAUAUUCUUUUAGGUUUUCGUUAAGCAUGUACUUGUAUAUAAGUGCCAACUUGUCGAUAUCAUCACAGUAUCCAAUAAAUGAGGCCAAGUUUCUAUGAUGGAUUCUCUUCAGGAGCUCAACCUGCAGCCACAAGGAACUCAUCAAUCUCUAACCAACGAGACGAGGCAUUUAACUUGCAUUCCAAGGAAUUAAAUUCAAACUGUCAAACCUCUGUUUGGAACUCCCUAGCUGAGCUAGCUCCUUGAGAUGACGAUGUAGAACCACAUCUUGAGUGCCGUAUUUCAACUAUCCAUGGUACAAUCCCAAAUCCCCCUUUCCCGAUUUCAGUUUUAAAGUUUUUGGUGAUUUCUAAAACCUCAUCAUAAGUGAACUAGAACUUCUGAAGCUACAGGAGUUUUGUUACGUUUUCUCCAUUUGCAGCUUAAGUAGACAAAAAGAUAUGUGUUCAGACUAACUGGUCAGAAAUACUACUGCACCAUAGUAGGAGCGCCGGUUCUAACUGAAUAAGUAUCAAAGGUAUAAAAUGGUACCUGGUUUUCUUAUUCUUCUCAGCUUCCAUACCAGUAUGAGCACUAUAACUAGGAGGAGAGGCCACUGCUGACAGUAAUGAUCCAAGUAUUGGAACAACCAUGUUCUCCUUGCACUUGAUUGAAUCUGAACUAAAACAGGACUUAUAAGCACAUCGAAAAUCUGAAGGACACAAUACCAUUAGCUUUCAUUAAAGAAAAUGCUAACCUAUUCGGUGCUCUCCAUGAACGAAACUUGCACAGAGCAGUAGGACGAGGAAACCAGUUGAGAUCUUCUUCUCUCUUUGUCUCACUGCAGCCUAUGAACUACCUGGUAUUUAAAACGCGUGACAAUGUUCCGACCAAAAAAGCAGAAAAACGUAUGUGACAGUGUGGAUUUGUACCUCAUGCUGCACAACUUUACAUGAAACAUGAUCCUUAUCACACGGAGAUGCUCAGUCUACAUCAAUCAAUGGAUCAUGCAAUGUUCAUACUAAGAGAGCAAUUUGGUUAAGCCAACGUAUUUUCUAGUCAAAACAUUUCAAGCAUUGUUCCAAAUUGAUUAAGUAGAGGACAAUAUCGAUAUAUAUUAGUAUUUAGCCUACGCUGAUUCACUACACAACAGAUCCCACACCCAUUUUUAACCCAUCAAGUUUUGAACAUGGAAUGAAUGAGAUAGUUUGUAGGAACCAGCAAAGGUAAAGCCUAAAUAGCUACCUAGCAUGUUGCUGUCAUUGAACCUGCAUUUGUGGAAUCUGAACCAAUGGAAAUCACUCUAGGUGAACUCUGGCAUGGUGAAAUUGUAACACAAGUUUCUUCAUUUGAGCCUGGAGUUCUUUGUCGAUGCCUAGAGACCUUUAUUCCAUACAUUGUGUUAGUUGGCACAGCACAGAACCCAUGGUGGUUAUAUGUUGGCACGUGAAAGUUGUGCAUGCCAUUGCUGUCUCUAAAGCUUUCCAGGCCGAAUUCACAUCCAACGCUCCUCGAAUCAUUUGAUACAAAAUCGUUGUUAAAUCCCAUUCUGGAACUCAGGGUUCACCCACUGCACUAUGUGGACAAGAUCAUCAAUUUCUAUGAUUGCAGGUUGGCCAGUAAAACUCUCAAAAUCAAUUUUUU
rnacentral:lncRNA from 1 species